rnacentral:lncRNA from 1 species
AGUGGCAGCUCAGUGUGACAAUGUUUCUACGAAUCAUGUAGUCUGAGCAGAUGCGGUACAAGAGAUCAACUUCCAUUCGGUUACCGCAGGAAACGUUUUUUUAAUGACAAUUGUUAUGCAGAAGUUUUCAUUGGUCCAUUUCUGCGGAGUCCUUUGACUCACCUAGAGCGCGUGAGUUUAUUCACAAAAUCAGAGAGCAUCACUCUGUGCGACUUCUGCUUUUUUUCUCGCAAGCCGCCCACAGUCAUAAACCAGACAUGAAACGGACAGACAUAUUCCUUUACAUGACUAUUAUUAACGUUGCGUUCGGCGACCCGGUGAUUAAGAAGAACUGUUCGGAGUUGAGGAAGGGAGAGCGGUACCACAUCGCGACUGCGGAGAUACUGGGGUGGAGUCCGGAUUCCUGCGAUCAGGAGUGGAGCCUGCAGAACCACACUGUCAUGGGCUACAUUGAGAAGAACAACACAGUUUUGAGCCCCCCCAUGGUGUCACUGACAAAGCAGGAGGCGGAGCUGGAAUCAUGUGUGAAUUUCACUGUCACCCUGAACUGCGUCCAGGUGGUCUCGCUAACAUUUUUAGGUAAGACCCAACACUUUAACACUACCUUUCAUGAUGCGUAGCAAACUGUAGCUCCCUUAUUUCCAGUACACCCGUCGCUAGUAUACAGACAGUCUGUGAGGACAUUCUCUUCUAGAGACUUCAAGAAUUUGCACCAUUCAUCCCACUAAAACAACUCGGUUAUGAGGACUUUUCUGUCCAUAAAUGCUUCAAAUCCAGGGUGAAAUAUAAUCCUGAGUUUCCUUCAUUGAAUCCCCUCCUCUGCUGUAGGGCCAUGUAUCCUGUUGUGAGCAGAGCAAAUUUCCAUUCUCAUGGGGGAAAAAAUGUUAUGAUUAUGAUGUUAAAAAAAUGUUAUAUGUGAUACACUAAAGUUCACGUGAUCACUGUUUUUUACUCUGCAAAGUGUGCUGACACUAUGCUGUCAGAGGUGCAGUGUACAUUGUCUGAAACCGCUUGUCCCAUAUGAGGUCGCGGGGAGCCGGAGCAACAUAGGGUAUAAGGCUGGAGGGGGAGGGGACACACCCAGGACGGGACGCCAGUACGUCACAAGGCACCCCAAGCGGGACUCGAACCCCAGACCCACCGGAGAGCAGGACCUGGUCCAACCCACUACGCCACAGCGCCCCCCUUAGGUGCAGUGUAGCGUUUGUUAAAAAAAAAAAGAAAGAAAGAAAAAAAA